UCAAGUGAAAAAGAGCAUAAGGCGGAUGCCUUGGCACUGGGAGCCGAUGAAGGACGUGACAAGCUGCGAUAAGCUACGGGGAGGAGCACAUAUCCGUCAAUCCGUAGAUUUCCGAAUGGGGGAACCCACCUAUAGUAAUGUGUAGGUAUUUUCGUAUGAAUCUAUAGUACGAAUAAAGGCAACCCGGGGAACUGAAACAUCUAAGUACCCGGAGGAAGAGAAAGAAAAAUCGAUUUCCUAAGUAGCGGCGAGCGAAAGGGAAAGAGGCCAAACCGUUAGUUUACUAACGGGGUUGUGGAUCACAGCCGUGGUAGAUACAAGUUUAGCAGAAGACAACUGGAAAGUUUGCGACACAGAGGGUAAUAUCCCCGUAUGCGAAAAACAAGUAUCACCUAUGUGACACCAGAGUAGGACCGAACACGUGGAAUUCGGUUUGAAGCCGGGGGGCCCACCCCCCAAGCCUAAAUACUACCCAGUGACCGAUAGUGAAUAGUACCGUGAGGGAAAGGUGAAAAGGACCCCGGGAGGGGAGUGAAAUAGAACCUGAAACCUUAUGCUUACAAGCAGAGGGAGCGCAAGUGACCUCGUACUUUUUGUAGAACGGGCCAACGAGUUAUGGUAUGCAGCGAGGUUAAGGUGCUGGAGCACUGGAGCCGUAGAGAAAUCGAGUCUGAAAGGGCGAAAGUUGCAUGCUGUAGACCCGAAACCGGGUGAUCUAUCCAUGUCCAGGUUGAAGUAACUGUAAUAGGUUAUGGAGGACCGAACUUAUAUCUGUUGAAAAAGGUUAGGAUGAGGUGUGGAUAGGGGUGAAAUUCCAAUCGAACUCGGAUAUAGCUGGUUCUCCUCGAAAUAGCUUUAGGGCUAGCCUCGUAGUAAGAUACCUGGGGGUAGAGCACUGAAUGUUCUAGGGGCCUUCACCGGUUACCGAAAACUAUCAAACUCCGAAUACCAGAGUAUCAUCUACGGGAGUCAGACUAUGUGAGAUAAGUUUCAUAGUCGAAAGGGAAACAGCCCAGACCGUCAGCUAAGGUCCCAAAAUAUAGGUUAAGUGGAAAAGGAUGUGGGGUUGCACAGACAGCUAGGAUGUUGGCUUAGAAGCAGCCAUUCAUUCAAAGAGUGCGUAAUAGCUCACUAGUCGAGUGACCCUGCGCCGAAGAUAAACGGGGCUAAAACCUAUUACCGAAGCUACGGAUACUUAAUGUAUGGUAGAGGAGCGUCGUAUACGGGUUGAAGCAGUACUGUAAGGUAUUGUGGACUUUAUACGAGAGAGAAUGUUGGCAUGAGUAGCGCGAGGCAGGUGAGAAUCCUGCCCACCGAAAAUCUAAGGUUUCCUGAGGAAGGUUCGUCCACUCAGGGUUAGUCGGGGCCUAAGCCGAGGGCGAAAGCCAUAGGCGAUGGAUAACAGGUAGAAAUUCCUGUACCACCGAAGGUUGUUUGAAUGAUGUGGGGACACAGGAGGAUAAGCUGAGCACGCCGUUGGUAGAGCGUGUCCAAGCGUCAAGGGAGUAUGAAUAGGCAAAUCCGUUCAUAUAUAUUCUGAGGCGUGAUGGGGUGGUCAUUAGACUGGAAGCAGCUGAUUUCACACUGUCAAGAAAAGCCGCUAAUUAGACCUAAGGUGCCCGUACCGCAAACCGACACAGGUAGAUGAGGAGAGAAUCCUAAGGUGAGCGAGAGAACUAUUGUUAAGGAACUCGGCAAAAUAACCCCGUAACUUCGGGAGAAGGGGUGCCUGCUUCGGCAGGCCGCAGUGAAAAGGCCCAGGCAACUGUUUACCAAAAACACAGGUCUCUGCAAAAGCGAAAGCUGAAGUAUAGGGGCUGACGCCUGCCCGGUGCUGGAAGGUUAAGGGGACGUGUCAUCGCAAGAGAAGCACUGAACUUAAGCCCCAGUAAACGGCGGCCGUAACUAUAACGGUCCUAAGGUAGCGAAAUUCCUUGUCGGGUAAG
rnacentral:rRNA from 1 species